UGAGGAAUAUUGGUCAAUGGGCGAGAGCCUGAACCAGCCAAGUAGCGUGAAGGAUGACUGCCCUAUGGGUUGUAAACUUCUUUUAUAAAGGAAUAAAGUCGGGUAUGCAUACCCGUUUGCAUGUACUUUAUGAAUAAGGAUCGGCUAACUCCGUGCCAGCAGCCGCGGUAAUACGGAGGAUCCGAGCGUUAUCCGGAUUUAUUGGGUUUAAAGGGAACGUAGAUGGAUGUUUAAGUCAGUUGUGAAAGUUUGCGGCUCAACCGUAAAAUUGCAGUUGAUACUGGAUAUCUUGAGUGCAGUUGAGGCAGGCGGAAUUCGUGGUGUAGCGGUGAAAUGCUUAGAUAUCACGAAGAACUCCGAUUGCGAAGGCAGCCUGCUAAGCUGCAACUGACAUUGAGGCUCGAAAGUGUGGGUAUCAAACAGGAUUAGAUACCCUGGUAGUCCACACGGUAAACGAUGAAUACUCGCUGUUUGCGAUAUACGGCAAGCGGCCAAGCGAAAGCGUUAAGUAUUCCACCUGGGGAGUACGCCGGCAACGGUGAAACUCAAAGGAAUUGACGGGGGCCCGCACAAGCGGAGGAACAUGUGGUUUAAUUCGAUGAUACGCGAGGAACCUUACCCGGGCUUAAAUUGCAGAUGAAUUACGGUGAAAGCCGUAAGCCGCAAGGCAUCUGUGAAGGUGCUGCAUGGUUGUCGUCAGCUCGUGCCGUGAGGUGUCGGCUUAAGUGCCAUAACGAGCGCAACCCUUGUUGUCAGUUACUAACAGGUUCCGCUGAGGACUCUGACAAGACUGCCAUCGUAAGAUGUGAGGAAGGUGGGGAUGACGUCAAAUCAGCACGGCCCUUACGUCCGGGGCUACACACGUGUUACAAUGGGGGGUACAGAGGGCCGCUACCACGCGAGUGGAUGCCAAUCCCCAAAACCUCUCUCAGUUCGGACUGGAGUCUGCAACCCGACUCCACGAAGCUGGAUUCGCUAGUAAUCGCGCAUCAGCCACGGCGCGGUGAAUACGUUCCC
rnacentral:rRNA from 1 species